rnacentral:rRNA from 1 species
AUUGAACGCUGGCGGAAUGCUUUACACAUGCAAGUCGAGCGGCAGCGCGGGGGCAACCCUGGCGGCGAGCGGCGAACGGGUGAGUAACAUAUCGGAACGUACCCUGUCGUGGGGGAUAACUAUCCGAAAGGAUAGCUAAUACCGCAUACGACCUGAGGGUGAAAGCGGGGGAUCGCAAGACCUCGCGCGAUAGGAGCGGCCGAUAUCGGAUUAGCUAGUUGGUGGGGUAAAGGCUCACCAAGGCGACGAUCUGUAGCGGGUCUGAGAGGAUGAUCCGCCACACUGGAACUGAGACACGGUCCAGACUCCUACGGGAGGCAGCAGUGGGGAAUUUUGGACAAUGGGCGCAAGCCUGAUCCAGCCAUGCCGCGUGAGUGAAGAAGGCCU